AGAAUCAAACUAGUCCAAAGGACUGUUGAGGAACAAUUGCACUGCUAUAUCUUUCAUGUUUGUGGAAGAAGAAAGCCCAUGUGAAGCCAACUUCUGAUUCAUAUUACUGUCAGGAUGUCUUGAAGCCUCACCCUUUUGCUCACACAGUUCUGGUUAGUGAUUCAUUAAAGUUAAUACUAAUAACGCUCAUAAACACAUUUUGGGAAUGCUGACAACUUUCUUCUGGAAUGGUGGUUUGUGAAGUCUCCUUCCCCUUCCCUACACCAGAAAUGAUGCAACCAGGGUAGGAGCAGGCAGUGUUACAUGCUGGAAACCUAAUGUGCAUUGCAAAUGACAACAUCCACAGUUGGGUGAGGAACUGUUCUGCCCCAGCUUGCAGACCCUUAGGAGCUUCCUGCUUUUGUUCUAUGAAAAUCAGCUAACAUUAUUUGGGCAUUGUUGUUUACUUCCUUGGAAACAGCAUCAGACCCUAAUGUACAAUCAAAAUCAAUAGCAAAACCUUCAUCAACUUCCAGGAAAAACAGAUCAAGUUUUGCCUUGUGCAAGCAAAAAUGUCCAAUUUUCAUCUUUAAGAUAAUGCUAGGGGCCAGAGACAGCCACCAUGAUGACAGAGUAGAGAGUUGCCGUUAUGUGCUGCAGAGGAUGGUGCUAAUUGGAUCUUCAGGGAGGGAGAGUCUUUUCUCCUGGCAACUACCACAGAAAUUGAGGGUGAAAUUUUCUUCAAGUCCAAAGAGGAUCUAAGGAUCUCAUCAUCCAGAAAGAAGAGAGGUGCCACCAGCCUGAGCCUGUACUAGGCAGCUGCAGACAACCCUCAGGAAAUGGGCAACAUGCCAUGUGAGAGGCCAGCAAGAGACCUAGCAGCAAGCCCAUGUGUUGCUGCUGCCAGAGAUCACCCUGGAAGUUGAGUGUAUAUAUAUAUAUACACGCACACUAUAUAUAUGCAAUAU
rnacentral:lncRNA from 1 species